GUAGAUCAGAAUUUUACAAGUUACUUCUUUCGAGUAAAGUUGUCAUUUGAAGUAGAAGGUUGUAGAGAGAACAUAACCAUCGUGUGUCAAGAUGCGUCCAACAAUAGCAUAAAUCUGCCAAACAUUACCCCGAUAAAACAGUGUUUAGUGUCACAAACAGAAAAAAUGAGGGAAGUCAAUUAUGUAACAGUAGUGGUCAUAUCAGUUUCUUCGGUGCUAACAUUCGCAAUAAUAGUGUGUAUUAUACUUGUUGUACGCUGUAAGAGAUUAGCAAAGCCACAGAUGUUUGGUCGUGAAGGUCCUGAUCUUCCAAUGCUACAGAAAUAAUCAACGACAUUCGUUUGUUUUUCUUUUUUAGAGAGAGAACGCUUAUGUUAUAAAACAAUGUGUUCACUUUUUUGUAAAGUGGUUUAUUCAUAAAUUAUGGUAAUCACACAUGUUCCUAUGAACGGCUUGUUUUUGCAUAGGUGAUAUGGCAUGAACAUAAUAUCUUUUAUCAGACAAAUGUGCUUUUUCGGAGGCUGAUAUAGGCUUCCUUUGCUAUUUCAAUUUGAUGGCCAUUGUAGCACCAACGUAAUAAAUGCGUAUACAUCCUCUUCCAGUUAUACAGCCAUGUUCAAAUUGUGAAACUUUGUACUUGAAUUGAAAUUAACACUGCUGUUGUUAUAAAACAGUGCAGUUUAAAAUUAAAUUACUUAAUCUUUUAUUUUUAAACCGACCCUUGAUGUUGUGUCAAAGAUUCCGUUCGUUGUUUAUCGUAUUGUUUGUGUCAUGGCGUUGUCAGUUUCUCUUAUACUUACGAGGAUUGAAUGCCACCUUGGAAUUAUUUGCCUCUUUUCAACUGGAUAGAAAAUAAAACAUGACGGAACCCAAAUUGCACCGAGUAUCCAAAUUGCACCAAUUUGUGCAAAAAAAGUAGCGGAAAUCUUAUCGGAUCUCUAAACAAUUCGCUUUUUAUAAUUUAUAACGUCUUUCUACAUAGCUAAACAUACUUAAAUAUAUGCAAAACGGUCACAAUAUAUAUCAACAGAUGUAGUAUCCAGUGAAAAAGUAAAAUGUACGGAACCGUCGCACAAAAAGACAACUUUUAAAAAUGAGCAAUUUAAAUUUUAAAUUCACAGGCAACUAUUUCUUACAAAACAGGUAAUUAGGCACACCACGAAUUCACAUGUUCAACGAAGUACAAAUUAUCUAAAGACGUGAAUGCAGAUUUGGGCUAAAACACGAAAUCAAAUAUCAACGAAAAUAAAUUUUCAAUCUACGAAAAUAAGUACCAUCGAAAAUAAUAUAUGCGAUUUAGGUACUCCUCAUUGGAGAAUCUUAGAUUGUUUCGAGGUCGGUUCAAAGCCUUUUUCUAUGAUUCAGUAUGAAUUGAAAUAUUAAAUUUGUGGAACUUCAUAGUUAAUUAGGAUAUAUCUAUGAAAUAAACACAUAAUGGAAACUUGCGCCAACUUUUUGAAUAAACAUGACAAACGUAGGUGAUAACAUGUCAAAAUAGGUGCAAUUUGGUUACCGUCAUGUUACAGGUUUCCGUAUUUAUUAUUUUCCCCAUUUUACUCUAUUAAAAGUCGGUAAAUAUGAUUCUUGAGCAAAUUUUCAAUAAAGAGACUUUACUUCAUAUUGACUUUUUUUCAAAUAAUUAAUGGCACUGACUGAAAUGAUCUCCGUUUGCCUAGUAAUCUUUUACAAUAUAUUGUCAUGAGUCGGUUAUUACAUUCAAAUUCUAAUAAAAUUCCUUUGUAUAUAUAUAUA